ACACACACACACAGGGCUGCCCAUAUGCGUAUGCACAUGAUCUUGGCCGCGCCGGGGCAGCCGGUGGUGUUCCGUGCCCUGUCCAGUCCGUGUCUGGUCUCGUCCGCUAAAGGGAUGUUGUUUCCAACUGUCGCUGGGUCGAUGUCACGCACGCAGGUCAGCACAUGUGAACAGUGUUUUGUUGCUGCUGCCCAAAGUGGGCAACGGUAGUCCGUGAACUGGCCUUUGGAUGGUUACACAUUUGUCACCGUGAUUCGGAUGCGAUGGAUGUUAGGAGUAAGGUGCAGCACUUAAGGAAGCCGAAGCAAAACGACACACCCCAUCAAAAGCGAAAACAAAACAACUGCACCAUCGGCUCAACUCAAUUGAGGCAAAUUGUUGCGCUGCGUCAGUGGCCGCUGGCAAGGGAGAAGUUGACUGGCCCUGUAAGCUCCGAUUUCCUGGAUGCAGCGACCGGACGACAAUGAACUUGACGAGUCAUUUUGGAUCGUAUGUCACACUCCAAAGAGGCAAUGUUUUUUCUCUUUUUAUUAUGAUUUAACUUACGUCUAACGCUUCUACUGCUGCAUUUUGUCUACCAAACUAAACCACUUUACUGAAACGAACCACGAACAAUCCUGCUCACUUCAACGACCUCAUCGGGCAUGGGUUGGCCCAUUUCUUCCCUGACCGAUCUGUCUUAGCCGACGAUGGCGAACGUUCGCAUCACGACUAACCAGGAGCUCAGCAUCAGCAUCAGCCAGCUGGUAAGCUGCACCUCGACUGCAACAUUGUAGAAGCCACCGAACACUUGCAGAUUGGCCGUCUCGAUGCUGUGCUUGCAGUAGUCACCAUCGUAGAUCCAGCCGACGUACUCGUUGUUGCGCAGGUUCUCAUUCCGCAGCCAUUCCUCGAGCGGUCGGAAAAACUCACGCAAUGCCGACCCGUCCAGCCGGCCCUCGCCGAUCACCUCCUGCAGGACCUGCUGCCACGGUUGUGACGUUCCGCGUUCCAUCAGCUUUCUAUGUAUUUGCAGAAAGGGGGCCAGAUGAAGAGAGAAAAAAAAGAUCAGUGAUCGGUUAAAUUGAAGAAAAUGGAUUGUGCCAGAGCAGUGUGUGUGGGUUGUAAAUUAAAUUGGCCACUAGCGUGAAGCAGAUCAGUUAGUGCACAAAAGGUGCGCUAAAAGGCAUCGCUAAUGCAAGGAUAAGGAGCGCUCAAUCGGUGUUCAUUAAGAUCUCCCCGUGUUUUGCCCGGUGGCGUUGUUCUUGAAGUGUUUUCUUAUUUUCGCAAGUCAGCAGUACUUACGAUCAUUCUAUACCGUGUGCGCAAUAUCUUAUCCCAUCUCCCUUUGCAGCACGCGCAACACCUGCAGCGAUGCACUCAUUGCACCCAAGUGACCGGGAGCAGCGUACUGCAAUGACGACGCCGACGACUCGGUCUCGGUACGCAUUACGCAACCGUGGUAGCAUUCGCCGUGGCUGCUUAGCUUCCCUGCGUUCCCAAGCGGGUGCAAAUCAAACGUCAAAAAACCACAAUUACCCCGUCCAAUGGAUCAGCCGCACGGCGCGAAACUGCUUUCGCUUUUCUACGCCAGAUGAUCCACUUGACGGGAAGAAUUAUAGUCCAACGCGAUGGAUGAAUGGCCUUCGCAGAAGGAGGCUAUUCGUUUAAAACCUGUCACAGAUUCUGGAGAUACUAGUUGAAUAUUGUUUAUUUUUUAAUUUGAAAUUCAUUUGAAAAUGGCUAUAUAUGUGGCAGUAUUAUUUUAAAAUAAAGCAAAAGUCAUAAUAAUAUGUAAUUAUCGAUUCAAAAUCAAUUCCGUGUUCUUCAUUGUUGAAGAUAUUAUUACUUACUGGAAAAAUUAAUGAUUAAAUUUGAAAUCUACUAAAGAGACAUGAGAACAUAUUACAAAAAUUGUGUAUGUAAAGCCUCCUACAGCGAGACAUUUUUGUAAGGAUUUUUAAGUUUUUGAAAUAAAUUUAGAGGAAUUGGUAGUGGAUGAUUAAAAAUGAUUGAUUUGGUCUACAAUAAACUCAAACAUAGUAACAGUUGAUCAGUUUAAAAUAA